rnacentral:rRNA from 1 species
AAUGAACGUUGGCGGCAGGCUUAACACAUGCAAGUCGAACGCAUCCUUCGGGGUGAGUGGCAGACGGGUGAGUAACGCGUGGGAACGUGCCCUUCAGUUCGGGAUAACCCAGGGAAACUUGGGCUAAUACCGGAUACGUGCGAGAGCAGAAAGAUUUAUCGCUGAAGGAUCGGCCCGCGUCUGAUUAGCUAGUUGGUGGGGUAAUGGCCCACCAAGGCGACGAUCAGUAGCUGGUCUGAGAGGAUGAUCAGCCACAUUGGGACUGAGACACGGCCCAAACUCCUACGGGAGGCAGCAGUGGGGAAUAUUGGACAAUGGGCGCAAGCCUGAUCCAGCCAUGCCGCGUGAGUGAUGAAGGCCUUAGGGUUGUAAAGCUCUUUCGUCCGGGACGAUAAUGACGGUACCGGAAGAAGAAGCCCCGGCUAACUUCGUGCCAGCCGCCGCCGUAA